rnacentral:rRNA from 1 species
GACGAACGCUGGCGGCGCGCUUAACACAUGCAAGUCGAACGGAAAGGCCUGCUUUCCCUUGUGGAUUGCGGGUACUCGAGUGGCGAACGGGUGAGUAACACGUGAGUGAUCUGCCCCCAACUUGGGUAUAAGCCUGGGAAACUGGGUCUAAUUCCCGAUAGGACUGCAGGGUGGUGCCUGUGAUGGAAAACGAUUUUCUAGUGGUUGGGGAUGAGCUCGCGGCCUAUCAGCUUGUUGGUGGGGUAAUGGCCUACCAAGGCGGCGACGGGUAGCCGGCCUGAGAGGGUGGACGGCCACAUUGGGACUGAGAUACGGCCCAGACGCCUACGGGAGGCAGCAGUGGGGAAUAUUGCACAAUGGGCGGAAGCCUGAUGCAGCGACGCCGCGUGGGGGAUGACGGCCUUCGGGUUGUAAACUCCUUUCGACCGCGAGGAAGCCACCUGGUUGGAAGGGUGGUGACGGUAGUGGUAGAAGAAGCACCGGCUAACUACGUG